ensembl:lncRNA
AUGUUGCUGCCUCUCUCUGAUUUUCUGUCUUUUGAUGCCUCUAUUUCUCUAGGGGACUCUGUCUCUCAUUGUCUGUGCCCAUGUCUCCCUCCUGGAAUUGCCAUCGUCUCACCAUUCCUCAUCUCUGUCUCUCAUGGUUUUUGUGUCUCACUACUUAGGUGCUUAGGUCUUUCUCUCGGUCUCUCUCAUCUCUAUUUCUCAGUCACCCUCUUGGUAUCUCCAUCUCUCGAGGUAUUUAUUCCUCUCAUUGUUGCAUCUUUACUCUCAGGGUAUCUCUGUCUCUCUCUCUCUUUGUGUGUGUAUGUGUGUGGGUGUGGGUGUGGGUGUGUCUCAGUCUCUCUCUCUGUAUCUCCAUUAUUGUCUCAUCAUGCCUAUAUCUUUGUCUGUCAAUAUCUCUUGCUUGGGUCUUUCUCUCAAGGUCUCUCUUGUCUCCAUUGCUCAGUCUUCCUCUUGGCAUCUGGCUCUCAAUGGCUUUUCUCUCUCAGCAUGUGUGUCUCUGGCUGUCUCUCCCUCUUGGUACCUCCAUCAUUGGUUCAUCAUCUCUGUCUCUCCCUGUGGUCACUCUCUCAACAUGGCUCACUGCCUGGGUCUUUUUCUCAGGCUAGCCCCCUCCCCCCCAGUAUCUCUCAGUUUCCCUCUUGGUACCUCCAUCAUUGGUUCAUCAUCUCUGUCUCUCCCUGUGGUCACUCUCUCAACAUGGCUCACUGCCUGGGUCUUUUUCUCAGGCCAGCCCCCCCCCCCAGUAUCUCUCAGUCUCCCUCUUGGUACCUCCAUCAUUGGCAUCUCUGUGUCUCCCUGCCUGUGUCUCUCAUUGUCUGCAUCUCUUGGGGCCUUGGUCCAGCUCUCGUUCUUCUUGUCUCUGAGCCCUAAAAUGCCUGACAGUGCACCUGCCCCCCUUCAGAGGGGGUGAUUGUGAAUGCCUUCCUAGGGAUGCUAAUCACCUCUGAAGCCACGGCUCUGGCGUUUCCAUGGUAUUUCACAUUUGCUGAGGGCUUCUUCAUCCCUCCCUGCAAGGCUUGUAGGCAGGCCCUGGGGUCUGGCUGUCUGUCUAGCUAAAAAAAACUCAUGACUUCGCAGGGCUUUCAGAGUGGAAAACAUGAUGAUACCAGCUAGGGAAGAGCUUCCCAUUUGCACAGAAUAGAGUUGCCACAAGUCUCUAUUCUUACCCACUUUCAAAAUAGGUAAACAGAGGCCCCAAAAAAGUGCAUGGCAAGAAGGUCUAAAGAAAAACUCCAAGUCAGAACACUUGUGUUCGAGUCCCGUCUCUGCAAGCUGCUUCCCCUUCAUCUAUAAAAUGAGAGGGAAGGAUUGAACUAAAUCAAACCCAGAUGUGCUCUGGUUUCAAAUCAAUACUUUAAAAAAAAAACCUUCCUUUCUGUCUUAGAAUCUGUACUAAGUAUCCAUUCCAAGGCAGAAGAACAGUAAAAGGAAAGCCAUGGGGGUAAAGUGACUUGCCCAGGGUCACACAGUUAGGGAGUAUCUACCCAGGAUCUCUUUCCUGACUCUCUCUCCUUGGAGCCACCUGGCUGCUCCUCCAAUAUUCUUUCUCCUGUCCCUGUCCACCUCCUCCAUGAGGCCUUUCCAGUUAUUUGUGCCUUCUCCUUCUUAGAAACAUUUUGCUGAUGAUUCCCAUCUUUGCACAUGAAUUAAUAUUCAUAUUCAUACAGGGUCAAUGUGUUCCUGUAAAGGUUGUACCUCCUCAGAGGGACGGAAAGUUCAGAGGCACUCAGACAUGAUGUGGAGGAGAGAGCUGAGCCUUGAGUCAGGAAGGCAGGAGUUCAAAUCCUGCCUCAAACACUUGCUAGCCAGGUGACCCUGGGCAAGUCAUUUAACCACCACCUGCCUCAGUUCCCUCAGCUGUAAAAUGGAG